UACUCAUUCGGAUUGAAGGCUGAAAUUCGCCUUCAUGAAGCUGGAAUUGCUAGUAAUGGCAGGUCAGCAUACUGCCGUGAAUACGUUCCCGGGCCUUGUACACACCGCCCGUCACACCAUGAGAGUUGGGAAUACCCGAAGCCUGUGAGCUAACUGUAAGGAGGCAGCAGUCGAAGGUAGAAUCAAUGAUUGGGGUGAAGUCGUAACAAGGUAGC
rnacentral:rRNA from 1 species